GACGAACGCUGGCGGCGUGCCUAACACAUGCAAGUCGAACGGAGCGGAGAGAAGCUUGCUUUUCUGAGCUUAGCGGCGAACGGGUGAGUAACGCGUGAGUAACCUGCCUUUGAGUGGGGGACAACAUCGGGAAACGACUGCUAAUACCGCAUAAGCUCACGAUCCGGCUUCGGCUUGAGUGAAAAGGAUUUAUUCGCUUCAGGAUGGACACGCGUCCCCUUAGCUAGUUGGUGAGGUAACGACCCACCAAAGCGACGAUUGGUAGCCGGACUGAGAGGCUGGACCGCCACACUGGGACUGGGACACGGCCCAGAAUCCUACGGGAGGGAGCAGUGGGUGAUAUUGCACAAUGGGGGAAGUGCUGAUGCAGCGACGCCGGGUGGAGGAAGAAGGUUGUCGGAUUGUAAUCUCCUGUUGUCAGGGACGAUAAUGACGGUACCUAACAAGAAAGCACCGGCUAACUACGUG
rnacentral:rRNA from 1 species